rnacentral:rRNA from 1 species
AUUGAACGCUGGCGGCAUGCUUUACACAUGCAAGUCGAACGGUAACAGGUUAAGCUGACGAGUGGCGAACGGGUGAGUAAUGCAUCGGAACGUGCCCGGUCGUGGGGGAUAACGCAGCGAAAGCCGCGCUAAUACCGCAUACGAUCUGAGGAUGAAAGCGGGGGACCGUAAGGCCUCGCGCGAUCGGAGCGGCCGAUGUCAGAUUAGGUAGUUGGUGGGGUAAAGGCUCACCAAGCCGACGAUCUGUAGCUGGUCUGAGAGGACGACCAGCCACACUGGGACUGAGACACGGCCCAGACUCCGACGGGAGGCAGCAGUGGGGAAUUUUGGACAAUGGGCGCAAGCCUGAUCCAGCAAUGCCGCGUGCAGGAAGAAGGCCUUCGGGUUGUAAACUGCUUUUGUACGGAGCGAAAAGGCUCUCUCUAAUACGGAGGGCUCAUGACGGUACCGUAAGAAUAAGCACCGGCUAACUACGUGCCAGCAGCCGCGGUAACAC